rnacentral:lncRNA from 1 species
AACAAUCUGGUUGCCGCGUACGAGGUAGCUCUUUUUGAUGAGCAAGUAAGGGUCUCCGAGCUCGAGGAAAGAGUCGCCAGAGCUGAGGAGCGCCUCGCCACCGAGCUACAAAUCAACGAGACUCUCCACUCUUCGGUUGAUUUGCUGAAGCAAGAGAGUGCUGAGUUAAAGGCGGUGAAAGCCGAAUUGACUGAGGCUCAAAGUAUGCUGGCGAGGGAGUUCGAGAAAGACCGAGAGCAGCU